rnacentral:tRNA from 1 species
AUGUUGGUGGUUCAGUGGUAGAUUCUUGCCUCCCAUGCGAGUCUCCCAGGUUUGAUUCCCAGCCAACAUA